CUACGGGACGCUCCAGUGGGGAAUAUUGCACAAUGGGCGCAAGCCUAAUGCAGCAACGCCGCGUGAGGGAUGAAGGCCUUCGGGUUGUAACCCUCUUUUAGCAGGGAAGAAGCGAAAGUGACGGUACCUGCAGAAAAAGCACCGGCUAACUACGUGCCAGCAGCCGCGGUAAUACGUAGGGUGCAAGCGUUGUCCGGAAUUAUUGGGCGUAAAGAGCUCGUAGGCGGUUUGUCACGUCUGCUGUGAAAAUCCAAGGCUCAACCUUGGACUUGCAGUGGGUACGGGCAGGCUAGAGUGCAGUAGGGGAGAUGGGAAUUCCUGGUGUAGCGGUGGAAUGCGCAGAUAUCAGGAGGAACACCAAUGGCGAAGGCACAUCUCUGGGCCGUAACUGACGCUGAGGAGCGAAAGCGUGGGGAGCGAACAGGAUUAGAUACCCGGGUAGUC
rnacentral:rRNA from 1 species